GUUCGAGAGCAGGAAUGCGUCCGGUUGUGACGGGAACUCAAGGAACUGAAACACACCGUGAGCCUCAGGAGAAUCCUGUCUUAUGCAGGUGUGGCCAAAGCUGCAUCCCAGGACCCAACAUCUCCUGCCCCUCAGAAGAGCCAGAUACUACUGGAGUGCAGGAAGAAAGAUGAGAGCAAGCUGAUCAAACACCUCAUAACAGAUGUGAGGGCGGAAGGUGUCUUGUCUUUGUCCCCUGGACUGGCAGAAAGAAGAAAGUCAUAUACACCUAGG